rfam:Macrostomum lignano uti_cns_0006603, whole genome shotgun sequence.
GGGGUUGUAGCCUAGUGGUUAGAGCGUCGGACUCACGAUUUGAGGGUCGGGGGUUCGAUUCCUCAUUCCA